UUGAUUGAUCCAGAAUAGAAAAGAUUGUGUAUGUGUUAUAGAAAGGGUUUAUUCAUACAUUUCUGUGAAGAGUUCUCAUUGUGGUGUUCUGCUUUUCCGGUACCCAGUAGAUGCACAGUGUUAGUUGUACUUUUUUGUAUAUUUCUAAAGUACACCGUCACGGUGGUCAGGAUAGUUACGAAACAUAUAGAGUAUUCUUAAGCCAAGCAUUUAAUUGACACCCGCGAUGUCGUUGCCUUAUUCCGAAUUUUUCGGUAAUAAAAUCGGCGCGUUCCAAGAGCUUUUCAACUCCUACGACAAAGAAAAAAGGGGAAUGAUAACCGAAGAUCAAACGUUAAAGGCCUUGGAAAGUUGCGGAGUUUAUUUGAUAGGAUGUGAAUGGCAACUUGUCACCUUCGACGAUGAUUUGUUUCACGACCUAGGUCUGGUGACUGUUGAAUCGUUUCUAACGAUUAUCUAUAGAUUUCUGCGUAUGCCGAAUUUGGCCAUCACUGACGAUAAAAUUCGUUUCCGUGAGGAAAAGAAAAACCAGCUUAUGAGAGAUAUACAGUCCCCUGAGUCGUCUAUCAAUGUGAAUGUUACGACUGAAAAAGAUGAAAAAUAAAACCUUUAUAUAAA